CGCCGCCGCCGCCUGCCGGUCCCAACCAGGAGGAGAAAGGAGGGGACCGGAAGGAGCCGCUGGUGCUGCGGGAAGUGGCAGGAGCGGGAGGCGGGGACCCACCUGGAAGCGCCGCCGCGCCGCUGUCGAGCUUCCUGCGGCGGCAGCCAGUCAAGCAAGUGCCGUGGCGGGAGCAGAGAGCGGCCACGGUAGCGGCGCCUCCCGGAGUGGCCCGUCACGCCCGGCCCCGCGCGGAAGAGGAGGCUCGCGAGAUGCUAGUAUGUAUCGCGAGAUCUCUCGAUUCUCGCGGGACGUUGUUGGCAGAGCAGUUGUCCUGGAUGGCGAAGCCUUGGGUUCCGGGGGCCUGGGACCCGCAACUCUUUCUACAAGUACCUUUCUCCAGUCGCCUAUAACAGAACUCCGUCCAUCUCUUCUUUCUGGGUAUCGUUUACUCCCAUUUAUAUGGCCAUUAAUAACUUCCUCAUCUCUGAGACUUCAUAUUUACAAUAACUUUUAGCAGUGUUUGGAGAUUCAUUUACAAUUUCUGACACUACUUGAAAUCAGAAUAAAAUAAUUCUUUUCAUCA
rnacentral:lncRNA from 1 species